rnacentral:misc_RNA from 1 species
GAGAAUUUUGGGUCUUUCGAUUGUCUCUCCAACAAAUUUCUUGACAUAGAUCAGGAAGGAUUGGGCAAAAGAUAUGUUGGUGUGCCGGGCAUGAAUUCUAUUUGUAAAUCAUUAUGCAAUGAGACUGGAGUGGAAAGCAAGUUUGGGAUAGGAGUUGGGAGGCUGGACUGGUUAGAUAGUGAGAAUUCAUGGUUGGUGAUGGGCG